rnacentral:lncRNA from 1 species
ACCACAACAUAUAGAUUUAAUAUUUAUUCAAUCAUGGACAAUUUCAGCAUAAUACAGAUUAUGAAUAUCACAUUAAAAUCAUUAAUCACAACAUAUUCAUUGAUAAUUUAUUACCAACAACUCAUACACGUCAACAAUUGAGGGAAAAAUGAAAUCAUAGAGCAAGGUAAGGAUCCAUCACCACCAUUCAUGCAUUUGACACUCAUUAUUAGAGUAAUUCUUCUCCCUUGCAUUAUUUUCUAGCAACAACAAGCUCUUAACUAUGACUUCUUCU